rnacentral:lncRNA from 1 species
GCGGGGUGGGGCGGGGCGGGGGCGGGACGUAGAGGGGCGGGGCGGGAUCGCUUCCCAGUAAUAAGUACUGGCGGGCUUCUGUGAGAACCGGGAAGUAACGACUCGGAGAUGGAAUUGUUCAGAGCGGAGACUAGUAGGAAAUUGGGAUUCCAAUUCGACUCCUGAACUCAUACCAUUACUUCCUAACUGGGUCAAAUUAAUCAAACUCUAUGUUUAGCAAACCUCACUUGUGUCAUCUCACUGAUGUUAUCCAUGUUCUCCAAGACAAAAGUGGCCGGACAGGAUUGUCAGCUACAGGAUCUUAAAUGGUAGCUCAUCCACCAGUAGCCAAGAAGGAUGCUUGUAAUGAUGAACUACCACUGUGCUGGAGCAUGAGCAGUAAGACGGCAAAAACAGAAGGCAACGAGAGCAAGAGGACACUUUCUAAAAAGACAACUAUCACUUCAAACAAUAAAGGCACAGCUCCACAAAACAUUUAUUCAGCAAAGUAACUAUACUCCGUGCCAACAGCACAUACUGACAUCGCAACAAACAAUUCUGCAAAGAUCAUCCCUAAUGAACAAGGAAUACUAGCCCCACCGGGGAGGUGGGAAUUCACUCUGACUGGGAGGGCUCCACAGAGGUAGCUGCUUACCCCGGUCUUAAUAGAUGAGGAGGAUUUUACUGGAUAGAUCAAGGAGAAAGCAGAUGUAGGGAGAGGAAAUAGCAUGUGUGGAAGUCCAGAUUCUAAAACAGAAAGAUGUGUCCAAGGACCCUCGACCAGGACUAUGUGGCUGCAUGUGGCUGCAGUGACGUGAGAGAAGCUGGGAAAGAUCCCUCUGUGGCAGUAUGAAGAAUGGAUUAGACAGGGAAGAAUAUUCAGGAGAGUAUGUGACAGAUUGCCGGAAAUCAGGCAGGAGCAAGAAAAUGGGCCAACAUACAGCCAUCCAGAGUGAAGAUGAAUUACCGAAAAUCUCUGUGAAAUAAGCAGGUGAAGCGGCAGAUCAAAGAGCGCAUCCCAGGGGUUGGUUAAGCAAGGGUGUGUCCAGCCUGCGGUGGGUCAAAGACAGGAAUUUAUUGGAAACAUCACUUUCAAUGAUCAGUAAGCUAAAAGAUUUGGAUCUUUUAAAAAAGAAUAAAAAGAUACAUUUUCCUUUUGAGUCUUUGGGAAGAAUUUACAGAAGAUACAGAAUAAUACAAAAACUUAUCAUGUGCUCACUCCUACCCCCAAUUUAGCACGUUAACAUUUUCUUCUUUUUUCUUAAUUUGUUCUAUUUGUACUUAUUUGUUUUUCUUAUAAAUCAGUGGCUCUCAAGGAGAGGAGGAAGGACAUUUUUCCUCCCCAGGGGACAUUUGGCAAUGUCUGGAGAUAUUUUUGGUUGUGACAACUGGGGACUGCUACUAGCAUCUAUUGGAUAGAGGCCAGGGAUGCUGCUAAACGCCCCAAAAUGCGCAGGACCACACCCAC